rnacentral:lncRNA from 12 species
GGGGGGGGGGGGGGGGGGGGGGGGGGGGGGGGGGGGGGGGGGGGGGGGGGGGGGGGGGGGGGGGGGGGGGGGGGGAUGGCGGCCACCAUCAGCGGGUCAGUGGCCACGGUGGCCACUGGGCUCGGGGUCACUGCCUCAGUGGCCACGGUGGCCAUCUCAUCACAGGGGGCUGCUGUCACCGAUGUCACCGCUCCGGUGUCCGGGGCGUCCAUCGGGGCAGGUGCCACUGAUGUCACCAGGUCGGUGGCCGCAGCGGCCAUCAGGGUGGGGGUCACCGAUGUCACCGAGUCGAUGGCCACAGCAUCCUUCAGGGUGGGUGUCACCGGUGUCACCAGGACAGCGUCCACAACUUCCAUCUUGUCCAGCAGGCUGGGUGUCCCCAGUGUCACCGGGUCAGUGGCCGCGGCGUCCAGCUCUUGUGGUGGGCUUGCUGUCCCCGGGCUGGUGGCCACAGCGUCGGGCUCAUCUGGGGAGCCGGGUGACACCAGUGGCACUGGUGCCACCAGGUCAGUGGCCACAGUAUCCGCUUCAUCUGGUGGGCUCGUCGCCACUGGUGUCACCUGGCUGGUGGCCACAGCGUCCGGCUCAUCUGGGGGGCUGGGUGUCACCAAUGUCACAUCAGUGGCUGCAGGACCAGACGGGCCGGGUGCCACCUGGCUGGCGGCUGUGCUGUCCAUCAGGCUGGGUGUCACCACACCAGUGGCCACAGCAUCCAGCGGGGUUGGUGUCACCACGUCAGUGUCCAGCUCAUCCAGCGGGGUCGGUGUCACUGGUGCCACCACGUCUGUGGCCGCAGUGUCCAGCGGGGUUGGUGUCACCACGUCAGUGUCCAGCUCAUCCAGCAGGGUCGGUGUCACUGGUGCCACCACGUCCGUGGCCGCAGUGUCCGGCUCAUCAGGCGGGCUGGCUGUCACCGGGCUGGUGGCUGCAGCGUCCAUCUGGUCCAGUGGGGUUGGUGUCACUGGUGUCACCGGGUCAGUGACCACCGAGUCCAUCAGGCCGGGUGUCGCUGGUGUCACCACGUCAUCGGCCAUUCCAUCCAGGGGGGGUGGUGCCACCGAUGUCCCCAAGCCGGUGGCUGCGGCGUCCAGCUCGCUGUGGCCAUCAGCACUCCCCGCCGUGCCAGCGCCGAGCUCAAAGUCAUUGUCACCAUCGCUGUCACCUCCAGGGCCGUCCUGGGGCUCGCCAUUGCUGCCCCCCAGCUGGUGGCUCCGGGGGUCCUCAUUGUCACCAUCGCCGUCACCUCCAGGGCCGUCCUGGGGCUCGCCAUUGCUGCCCCCCAGCUGGUGGCUCCGGGGGUCCCCGGCACAGAGCGCGGGGGGCUGGGGGGCAGGGCAAGGUCCCUGUCCCAGCGCCGCUCCAGAACCUUCUGUCGCCGCCACCUCCUCGGGGGGCUCGGGCGGCGGCCACGCCCCGGUGACGGUGACAGAGGCGUCGCCAUCCAGCUCCGCGUCCCCUCCCGGCGGUGUCCCCAAGGACGCGGCGGGGUGACACGGGGAGCCGGGGGGGGGGGGGGGGGGGGGGGGGGGGGGGGGGGGGGGGGGGGGGGGGGGGGGGGGGGGGGGGGGGGGGGGG